GAUUGAACGCUGGCGGCAUGCCUUACACAUGCAAGUCGAACGGCAGCACGGGUGCUUGCACCUGGUGGCGAGUGGCGAACGGGUGAGUAAUACAUCGGAACAUGUCCUGUAGUGGGGGAUAGCCCGGCGAAAGCCGGAUUAAUACCGCAUACGAUCUACGGAUGAAAGCGGGGGGCCUUCGGGCCUCGCGCUAUAGGGUUGGCCGAUGGCUGAUUAGCUAGUUGGUGGGGUAAAGGCCUACCAAGGCGACGAUCAGUAGCUGGUCUGAGGGGACGACCAGCCACACUGGGACUGAGACACGGCCCAGACUCCUACGGGAGGCAGCAGUGGGGAAUUUUGGACAAUGGGCGAAAGCCUGAUCCAGCAAUGCCGCGUGUGUGAAGAAGGCCUUCGGGUUGUAAAGCACUUUUGUCCGGAAAGAAAUCCUUGGCUCUAAUACAGUCGGGGGAUGACGGUACCGGAAGAAUAAGCACCGGCUAACUACGUGCCAGCAGCCGCGGUAAUACGUAGGGUGCGAGCGUUAAUCGGAAUUACUGGGCGUAAAGCGUGCGCAGCGGUUUGCUAGACCGAUGUGAAAUCCCCGGGCUCACCUGGGAACUGCAUUGGUGACUGGCAGCUAGAGUUAUGCAAGAGGGGGGUAGAUCACGUGUAGCAGUGAAAUGCGUAGAGAUGUGGGAGGAAUACCGAUGGCGAAGCAGCCCCUGGGCCAUACUGACGCUCAUGCACGAAAGCGUGGGGAGCAAACAGGAUAGAUACCUGGUAGUCACGCCCUAAACGAUGUCAACUAGUUGUUGGGGAUUCAUUUCCUUAGUAACGUAGCUAACGCGUGAAGUUGACCGCUGGGGAGUACGGUCGCAAGAUUAAAACUCAAAGGAAUUGACGGGGACCCGCACAAGCGGUGGAUGAUGUGGAUUAAUUCGAUGCAACGCGAAAAACCUUACCUACCCUUGACAUGGUCGGAAUCCUGCUGAGAGGUGGGAGUGCUCGAAAGAGAACCGGCGCACAGGUGCUGCAUGGCUGUCGUCAGCUCGUGUCGUGAGAUGUUGGGUUAAGUCCCGCAACGAGCGCAACCCUUGUCCUUAGUUGCUACGCAAGAGCACUCUAAGGAGACUGCCGGUGACAAACCGGAGGAAGGUGGGGAUGACGUCAAGUCCUCAUGGCCCUUAUGGGUAGGGCUUCACACGUCAUACAAUGGUCGGAACAGAGGGUUGCCAACCCGCGAGGGGGAGCUAAUCCCAGAAAACCGAUCGUAGUCCGGAUUGCACUCUGCAACUCGAGUGCAUGAAGCUGGAAUCGCUAGUAAUCGCGGAUCAGCAUGCCGCGGUGAAUACGUUCCCGGGUCUUGUACACACCGC
rnacentral:rRNA from 1 species